rnacentral:rRNA from 1 species
GACGAACGCUGGCGGCGUGCCUAACACAUGCAAGUCGAACGAACCUUCCGGGGUUUUGGGCGGACGGGGGAGGAAGACGUGGGAAGGUGCCCUUGGGUACGGAAUAACUCAGGGAAACUUGUGCUAAUACCAAAGGGGCCCUUCGGGGGAAAGAUUAAUUGCCUUUAGAGCGGCCCGCGUCAGAUUAGCUAGUUGGGUGAGGUAAUGGCUCACCAAGGCGACGAUCAGUAGCUGGUCUGAGAGGAUGAUCAGCCACAUUGGGACUGAGACACGGCCCAAACUCCUACGCGAGGCAGCAGAGGGGAAUCUUGCGCACUGGGGGAAAGCCUGACGCAGCCAUGCCGGGUGAAUGAUGAAGGUCUUAGGAUUGUAAAAUUCUUUCACCGGGGACGAUAAUGACGGUACCCGGAGAAGAAGCCCCGGCUAACUUCGUG